GGGGGUGGGCCCUAACUCAGCGCCACAGCUUCUGCCUCACAUGCAGAAGGUCGCAGGUUCAAUUCCCGGCAUCUCCA